UACGAAGGGGGCUAGCGUUGUUCGGAAUCACUGGGCGUAAAGGGCGCGCAGGCGGCCAUUCAAGUCAGAUGUGAAAGCCCCGGGCUCAACCUGGGAGGUGCAUUUGGGACUGGAUGGCUUGAGAUCGGGAGAGGAGAGUGGAAUUCCCAGUGUAGAGGUGAAAUUCGUAGAUAUUGGGAAGAACACCGGUGGCGAAGGCGGCAUCCUGGACCGAUACUGACGCUGAGGAGCGAAAGCCAGGGGAGCAAACGGG
rnacentral:rRNA from 1 species